rnacentral:rRNA from 1 species
GAUCCUGGCUCAGAUUGAACGCUGGCGGCAGGCCUAACACAUGCAAGUCGAACGGUAACAGAAAACAGCUCGCUGUUUCGCUGACGAGUGGCGGACGGGUGAGUAAUGUCUGGGAAACUGCCUGAUGAGGGGGAUAACUACUGGAAACGGUAGCUAAUACCGCAUAACGUCGCAAGACCAAAGAGGGGGGACCCUCGGGCCUCUUGCCAUCGGAUGUGCCCAGAUGGGAUUAGCUUGUUGGUGGGGUAACGGCUCACCAAGGCGACGAUCCCUAGCUGGUCUGAGAGGAUGACCAGCCACACUGGAACUGAGACACGGUCCAGACUCCUACGGGAGGCAGCAGUGGGGAAUAUUGCACAAUGGGCGCAAGCCUGAUGCAGCCAUGCCCGCGUGUAUGAAGAAGGCCUUCGGGUUGUAAAGUACUUUCAGCGGGGAGGAAGGGAGUAAAGUUAAUACCUUUGCUCAUUGACGUUACCCGCAGAAGAAGCACCGGCUAACUCCGUG